CCUAUGGAGGAAGCUCACUCUCAAGUGAAACUCCCAGUAUGUGAAUCCAGGGAGCAAGAGUAGAAGCCACUGCUAGGAAAGGCCAUAGGAAAGAGAGAGUUUUAGAAAGAAAGUGUGAUGUUUGUGGAAGAGAGCUGGGAGAUUUGAAUGAUGUUUUGUUAAUAAACCAGGAAGGGAAUGUUGCAUGUGCUGGGUGAUUCUGUGUAUUUGUGGGGAGCCCAAGAAAGGGUAAAAAGACCAUAGUAUUUUGCUUUAGGUACUCAGAAAAAAAUAUCUUGUUUUAAGAAUUCUGGAGGGGGCUACAUCUAGACAGAAGAAUGGCUGCUUGAAGACUGAUAAGUUCUUCAUCAGUUUGACAAAAGGAGCUUUCUAUAGCACCUACUGUUGCUUUGUGAACCAGUGAGAAUCACUGACCUAAGAAAUCUCCUGCUUUAACCGAAGGUACACAGGAAGAGGAGCUUAGCUACCACAAGUAGAAGCAUGACAUACAAUAAGAUAAGUAGAGAGGGAUAGCAGCUGACUAGGAGCCAUCAUAAUGGCAGCAUGAUUCAGGAAUGUCGUUAUAUGGAAGGCCCACAAUAAAACCCUAAGCCAAGCCACUUUGGGUUCCCUGAACUUCUGUUUGUGAGGUAGGGAGAAGGAGGGAGCAGCUGUCCCUUUAUGAACACGGUGGAAUAGGAGAAGGAUUGAAGAUGCUCCACCUGAACCGUCUCAAAAUUCUUCAAAGAGCACUACACUGUCAUGUGAAAAAACAACAGCACUUAUCCUUACCCUGAUUUUCAAGACACAAAAGCAUAACCUUUUAUAAAGUCUAUAAGCCUGCUAAGGGACCCAGUGUUGAGCAAGGGGUUGUGAGUCAGGACUCCAGAGACCUAUGCCCAGCUCUACCAAUGAUGCGCUCUUCAGUCCAAUUUAAAUCAGUGUUAAUACUACCAGUGACCUGUUAAAAGUCAUAUAACCAUUCUGUGCCUCAGCUUACCUACAUGAAAAAUAAAGAUAGUAAUGCUAAUCUACCACUUAAG